GUUUGGCUAACGAAAGAUGAGACUGGGUUUUUAUUUCGAAAAUUUAUAUGGCAACACUUAUAAUUACGUAAUUGUCAUUAAAACCUGAGUUGUUGAUGUGUCAAAGUGAAAAUGAUUUCCGCGAUUUUAGUGAUUUCUAAUUGAAAACGAGACGAAAACAUUGAAAUGCGACUUAAAAAAGGUAACAUGGAUGAUACCAAUAGUCCAGUUAUAAUCUAUUCAAGCAACAAUAAAAAAAAUUGAAUGAUCUGUUUCGUUCAAAAUGUUUAAAGACACAAAAUCAGUAUCUUGACGAGAUUUCUUCUAUGACCGGACCAUGUUAUUCGUGUUGAAGAUAGUAUAAAAAACGAAAUGUAAUAACUGCAGAAAUGGAAGGGUUCAUAAUAAGAGUCAGAGAUAGUGAUAGUGAUUCUUACUAUUCACUCGCGGUUGAAUUUUUACAUUUGAUAUGAUUAUAUUGAUUAAACAAACUUUAAUUGUAUUUUUAUUGUGUUUUUUCUUGCUUUCAUUCGGUGUUCUUUUUUGUCUAUCUGUAUCACUUAACUGUUCUAAGUAUAUUACAUAUAACAAUAUUAUAAAGAUGAAGAGUU